UGGGGAAUCUUGGACAAUGGGGGCAACCCUGAUCCAGCCAUGCCGCGUGAGUGAUGAAGGCCUUAGGGUCGUAAACUCCUGUCAGUAGGGACGAAAAAGUAGGGUCGAACAGGCCCUGCCAUUGACGGUACCUGCAGAGGAAGCCCCGGCUAACUCCGUGCCAGCAGCCGCGGUAAUACGGAGGGGGUUAGCGUUGUUCGGAAUUACUGGGCGUAAAGCGCACGUAGGCGGACCAGAAAGUUGGGGGUGAAAAUCCCGGGGCUCAACCCCGGAACUGCCUCCAAAACUAUUGGUCUAGAGUUCGAGAGAGGUGAGUGGAAUUCCAAGUGUAGAGGUGAAAUUCGUAGAUAUUUGGAGGAACACCAGUGGCGAAGGCGGCUCACUGGCUCGAUACUGACGCUGAGGUGCGAAAGUGUGGGGAGCAAACAGGAUUAGAUACCCUGGAUAGUCCACGCCGUAAAACGAUGAAUGUUAGCCGUCGGGCAGUAUACUGUUCGGUGGCGCAG
rnacentral:rRNA from 1 species